rnacentral:rRNA from 1 species
GACGAACGCUGGCGGCGUGCCUAACACAUGCAAGUCGAGCGAGGUAUUUAUACCUAGCGGCGGACGGGUGAGUAACACGUGGGUAACCUGCCUCAUAGAGGGGAAUAGCCUUCCGAAAGGGAGAUUAAUACCGCAUAAUAUAUACCGGUAGCAUUAAUGGUAUAUCAAAGGAGAAAUCCGCUAUGAGAUGGGCCCGCGGCGCAUUAGCUAGUUGGAGAGGUAACGGCUCACCAAGGCGACGAUGCGUAGCCGACCUGAGAGGGUGAUCGGCCACAUUGGAACUGAGACACGGUCCAGACUCCUACGGAGGCAGCAGUGGGGAAUAUUGCACAAUGGGGAAACCCUGAUGCAGCAACGCCGCGUGAAUGAUGACGGCCUUCGGUUGUAAAGUU